UACGUAGGGUGCGAGCGUUGUCCGGAAUUAUUGGGCGUAAAGCGCUUGUAGGCGGUUUGUCGCGUCUGCCGUGAAAAUUCGAGGCUCAACCUCGAACUUGCGGUGGGUACGGGCAGACUAGAGUGUGGUAGGGGAGACUGGAAUUCCUGGUGUAGCGGUGAAAUGCGCAGAUAUCAGGAGGAACACCGAUGGCGAAGGCAGGUCUCUGGGCCACUACUGACGCUGAGAAGCGAAAGCAUGGGGAGCGAACAGG
rnacentral:rRNA from 1 species